rnacentral:lncRNA from 1 species
AAUUUUUCAUUAACAUAAAUGAUAUAAUACAAAUUAAAGUAAACACUACACAAUACAUCAUUAUUUUAUUUACACAUGACAAAAAGAACUGAAAAAUAUCUUCAAACUCUUUGUCAACAAUUUCUCAUUAUUGAAGAACCCUGUCCCUGUAAUAAAAAAUGAAAGCAAAGAUUCAUUUCGAAUAAUAUGAUAUUAAGCAGGAUAGGAUUUGAGGAACUCCAGUAUCAUUUUGAAAGAUAUUGCAGAAAUUUAAAUGAAGUAGGCAACAGAAUAAGUUCAUGCAAACCGACUAAUUACUGGCAACAUAAAUGGAUUACAAGUUUCAUACUCAAGUUCAACUGUUCACUGUAUAUAGACGAACACACUCGCACCCUAAAAUGCUAGUCUUACUCUCAAAAAAAAAUAAUGAUGCUGCUUUCGACACAGAAGAGGCUCUGUUCAUGAUUUUGUUCAAAAUAACUGGUCUUCUUCUUCAUGAGUUUAUUCCAAAUAGCUAGCUGGUCUUGUCGAUUUUGAGUAGGAGUGGCAAAUGGGUUGUAUUUAGGCUGUGAACUGACUCAUUAAAUGAGUCAUUUCACACCCUGCCCAAAGUUCAAUUGGAUUAAGAUAGGGUGGUCAAGAUGGGCUAAACAAUGGGUUAUAACUCAACCCGCUCAAAUUGACCCAAAUUUUUGUAUUAUUCCCAACUUUUAAACAAGCAUAUAUAAAAAUUAUCUUAUGUUUUAGAAUAAAUGGCAAUUCAUGCCAAAUGAUUUCUUUCCUCAAUUUGGAUUUAGAAUUUUAUUUGAUAGGUCUUCGUCUUAUAAUAAUAACAAAGAUCAGAAUAAUAAAAAAAGUAGCAAAAUUAGAACUUUUCACCCACCCCAAACCACCUCUCACCACCCCAACCUACCCCCAAACUCACACCCCCUCCCUAAAUAAAAUUUUAUUUAGAGUACUUUAUUUUAAUGUCGUGGAUAAAGUAUUUUUUUUCUUUUUAUUUCAAUAAAAUGAAUAUUCUCUUUUUAUAAUGUAGAAAAAGUAUUGUUUUUAACAUGAUGUAGAAAAAAAAUAUUUUUUUUCACAAAAUGAGUACUUUUUUUCAUGUUGUAGAAAAAAAAUAUUUUUCUUUUUAUUUCAACAAAAAGAGUAUUUUCUUUUCAUGAUGUAGAAAAAAUUAUUUUCUUUUUCACAAAAUGAGUACUUCUUUUUCUGUUGAGAAAAAGUAUUUUCUUUUUCAUUUCAACAAAAUAAAAAAAAUUUUUUUUAUGAUGUAAGAAAAAGAUUAUUUUCUUUUCAAUUUUAAUAAAAUAAUGUACUUUCUUUUAUGAUAGUAGUCAAAAAUGUAAUUUUCCCAUUUAUUUAAAAUGAGUAUCUUUCUUUUCAUUUAUUGUUGAUAAAGAAUUUUUUUUUUGUUUUCAAUCAAAAAAGUACUUUCUUUUCAUGAAUGUAUGAAACAUUAUUUUACUUUUUCAUAAAAUGUAGUAUCUUUCUUUUUCUUUUGUAGAAAAAGUAUUUUCUUUUAUUUCAACAAAAAGAGUAUUUUCUUUUCAUGUUGUAGAAAAAAUAUUUUCUUUUAUUUCAAUAAAAUAAGUAUUUUAUUAUGUUUUAUUGUGAUACCUAAAAAAUAGCUCAGUACCGUCCUUUAUAAUAUUGAUAUAAAUUUUAUUUGUUAUUUUUCUGUUGUGAUAGUGUGUUUCUCUUUAUUUUCAGAUUUUUUUCAUGUUUGAUGAUUAUUUUUGUCAAUAACAGUUAGUUAAAUAAAUCAUUCGACAUCAUGAAAAGAAAGUACUUAUUUUAUUGAAAUGAAAGAAAAUGCUUUUUCGACGUCACGAAAAAAAAUACUCAUUUGGUUGAUAUGAAAAAAAUACUUUUUCUACGUCAAGUAUUCUAAAUAAUAUUUUCAUAUAUUUAGGGUGGGGGGAGGUCGGGGUAGGGGGUUGGGUGGUGCGUGGGUGAGAGUGGGGGUGGGUGGGGGUAGGGGUGGUGGGUGCGGUGGUGGGGUUGGUGGAGAUGGGGAGGUUGAAAAAAGUUUUGGAAAAUGUUUUCCCUUCUCUUGAUACGGAAAAUAUUUUUCACAUUUUUCACCAAUUGGAGAAAAUUAAAUUUAUAAAGAAAAUAUUUUUCAAAUAUUUAAAUCAACUAAACAUGAGAAAAUUAGAAAAUAUUGUUCAAAACUUGGGAUAAGGUAAAUCUUUAAGAUUGAGCAUUUCCAUGGGCCAAGGUUGGGCAUCAUCAUGGAUCCAUUUGGGCUGAUGAUUUUUGAUGGGUUAACUUGGGCUAGCCCAAAAUAGCCCAUCUUCAAAAUUGUUUUAGCCCAAACCCAUUAAAACUUGGACGGAUUGGACGGGUCAAAUGGGUUUGGGUUAGUUUUGCCACCUUGGAACAUUGUGGACCUUGACUCUAUGAUUUAUGGGAGCACGGUAAAGAAAAUGGAGAAUUCAAGUAGAAGGGCUAGACUGAGCUGAAGUGGUAAUAAUUGGUUUUUACAUCUAUUCUUGCCGCAAAAGAAGGAGAAAGUAAAACAAGUAUGUAGAGGCAUCUAAGACAAGUAGUAUAAUAAUACCUUGUGCAUCAGAGUAUUAAGUGUGGAGGUGGGUGUUAGGAGUAAGCAGAGACAGUAACAGGGCAGCUCUCCUUUGGCGUGUCAGCUGAAAUAUAUAUGUUAUGAAGUGGAGUCACUCUACAUAAAUAACUGCAUGCCAAUAGAGAGUAGCCCUACCACUAUUUCCCUUAUUAUCAUUCACCAACUCUUCUUUCUCAUUUUUC